UGAAUAAAAAUAAUUUCAGGCCCACCAAAACCGCACUUAAUUUCUAUUUGCAAUUACUAUGGGUUAAAGACAGGAAAACUUUAAUGUCAAGGAGAAUCAAGGCAAAUACAACAAGAAGUCAAGCAUUAAAUGUUUCUUAUGCCACAUUCCUGUUUAAAACAGGAAUUAAAUAGCGUAGAGGAAAUGCUAAUUCACGGCCCGAAGCAGUGAUUGAGCACCUGGCGGGAGGGCAGGGCCAACCCAGCACAGCUCAGGUGCACGCAAUACACCUGAGUGACGAGAAGGACUGGAGCCAGGAUCCACCCCUUCCCUCAUUUAAAGGUUGAAAGCGGAGGUGAAAGCAUCUUGCUGAGGAUCCCUGUGUACGUGUGGUAUUCUGAGGCAGAAACGGAUGCAAACAGAUCUCGAGAAGCUGCCUGCAAUAAAGGGACAUCGUCUGGAUGCUUUACAGCAGAAACUGCGUUAGCAGUCUCCUGUCCUCCCUCUUUUCUACAGACUAAAGGUUAGAGGAGACUAAGGUCAGCUGAAGAUCUUUUGUCAAAAUAUCUCUGCACGUGAAAGGAUGCGGCAGGGACUGCAGUUCUUCACAGCAUCGAAAGCGUUAUGUACACAGUACAGAUACAGAUGUCAUGAGCAUGUCAAAUAUUCACCUCAUUCAACAAACCAGUUGAAAGUUGUCCUUUACUUUUGUCCUUGACUGUGUGGAACUGCUUGCGAAUCUUCUGCCUUGUUAUAGCCUCGUCGUACCAAGUGCUUCUUACGGUGCUCAAAAUGGGAUGGCCUUUUCAAGCACGUGCUGUGCUUCUUUCUGAGGAGGAGAGUGUAACUGCAGUAAUGUCUCUGAAAUAAAUUUGGAGUCACUGCUUUUUGCAGCAUUCCUGCAAGCGUGGAGCAGUGCUGUGUGACCAUGUAUUCUGAGUAGCUGGAAAUCACUACCAGUUGGAACUACGUCACCAUUUUUUUUUAAAUGCUCAGCACUUCAAGAUAACCUUGGAAUGAGAAACGCUUCUAAGAUUCUCCAAGUUUCAAGUUCAGUGCCAUUGCUGAAGAGCAGCAAUGCUUAAGCUCCUGUUUUGCUACGGGCCUCUCUUGCUUCAGUUCUGAGAACUUCACAUACCGACUGCAAGUUUGAAAAGCAGCCGGACCCGAGUGAUGCUUUCUACAAUAUGUUCUAAGUCUCUUGUACCGUAACACCUCUGUCUGUGAAACCGCAAUUUAUUUUUUGUUUCUAACUCCUGAUGAAUUAUGUUUCUGGGAAUUGUCUACUCUUUAUACAGUGAAGGUUUUCUGUUUGUUUGGAGAAACAGCAAGCGCUGUGUUUUGCUUCGUUCUGGUUUUGUUCUCCUGGUAGUAUGAACAUUUUUCACUGUAAGUUUGUUUUAUUAACAUAAUGACUGAGAACACUUCUACUUGAAUAGUUCUGUAGAAGAAACUGCCUGUGGAAAUAGCAUGUGCUAUAAUGCUGUUAAAUACAGUAAAUACUAUGAUUAUAUUACAUGCUAAUUACACCAUUCCUUUUACGGUAUGGUUCCCCUAAGGCCUAUGGAAUCACGUAGUUCAGUCUGAAGGUUCCGAAUGAGUAGGCCAGCUCCUACAAUUGAUUUUCAUGGGAGACAUAUUGGGAAAGCAGUGGAGGGUAAAGAGGGUAAACAGCUGGCUAAUGCCUGCGAAAUGGGUUAUACGGUAUGUGUGACAGAGUUUUAAAAUAAAAAUUAAAAAAUAAAAAAAAAGCCCAAGGAGAGCAUUUUGUGGAAACGGCCCCUAGGAAUACUGAGGAGCCGGAGGUAGGAAGCGUUUCCAGUUUUCAAAAUGUUUUGUCCUAUUUCUGACGAAUUCUUUCCUCAGGAACAGAGGUGGAGUGAUUGGAAAGGUGUUUGGCCGUAGCUUGCCUGCUAUUAUGUAAAGCAAGUGGUAUUUUUCUACUUGGAUGUUCUUUGAAGCGAUUCCUUUAAGGUUAUGUACUGAAGUUAUCGUGUAUUAUUGUAGUUAUUGUAAUUGCAGCAAACUGUGAGUUUGUAAUGCUUAGAAAACUAAGUAAAAUCAGCUCUCGGACAUCACUAGUGUUGUUUCUACGCAUAUGUAACGGUACUAAGCUGCUGCAACUUAUGUGACUGGAGUGAAAUAAUGCCUACUUUGCAGCGUUUGGUGCACAGGCCUUAAUCCGACUGCGUUUCUAAACCUAAUCCUCAAGUUAGGAACAAGCGUGUAUUGGCUUCUCUAUCUUUGUGAGCAACAAAUUUGUUUCUCGUGUAACUGUUAUUGCUAAACAAGUAACUGUUGAAAAUAUACAAGUGGAUUGCUGCUUGUGACAUACUAGCAAGAAGCACUGAUCCGUAACAGUAACUCGGUUACUAAAAUACUGGCAAGAAUGCCAAUGGCUGCGGUAUCCUAAGCAGUGUAAACUAGCAAGAGGAUAGGGAUUUUGAGGAAAAUAAAUGUUUGCAUCCUGCUGAGCGUGGUGGUCAAAUAAUGCUUCUAAGACGCUGGACACGCUUCUACUUGGCAUAAUCACAAUAGAGAAAACCAUUGCUUCACUACUUGUGCAUACGGUAGUUUUGCGUUACGCUUUCAAUUAGUUCAGUUUUAAGAAUAUAUUAAAUUUACUAGCAGAUUCGGUUUAAAAGAAAAAAGGGAACUUCAAGGCAUGCUUUCAGAGGUUCACGUUCUGAAAACCUGGGGCAAUUUCCUUUUUCCCGAUCUUCUGUAUGUGACUCUUGCACGAGGGGUAGCGGAUUGAGAUUCCCUGAACUUAGCGCCAGAGUCAACUGAAAGCAAACCUUGGACACAAAGAAAAGCAUAAAAUGGAAUAGUUAUUCAAAGCGGAAGAUUCUAAUCUGUCAGUGACGUUGAGUCAAACUCAUCUCAUUGACCAGCUGAAACCUACAGGAUUUCAGCGUAAGACAAGUAUCGGUGCUACCGGAGAACGACCUGGGAAGGCUGCGUUAUAAACAGACGUUCGUUCUGACUUACGUAAAUCCAUUGGGCGGUAUUGUAAAAUCGUGCAGCUGUUUUGAACGUACUAAAUGUAAAAUCGCGAGCUCAAAAUUAAACUAAUAGCUUACGUGCUACGAAAGGACGAUGGGUCUGUUAUUUAUCUACAUUUCUAAAUGUUACCACUCGCUUGGCUAUUCAAAACUUGAUUAAAUUGUUACGAGCGCCCACCCUCGUUAGUAAAAUGUUGGAGAAAACAGAUAAUAGUUCUCCAGGGUGCUACGUAUUCUUGAGGAUGGAUUUGAAAACAUACGCCAGAAGUUAAGGAGAGGAAUAAAUGGUAACUUCUUUGGUUGAACUGCCCGUGCAUCUCGUUUACCUGAGCGACUAAAAAAAAAGAAACAAUAAAAAGACAAAUUUGUUGACGCGUUUGAAAGACUGAACUUCCACUGUCUUUCCUAUUUGAAGCAUUUUUAUACUAAGGAAACCGCGUCUCACAGAGAUGAGUGUGGGAAAUGGCGCGUGCGCUACGGUAAUUGUUCUGUGUUGGACUUGCUAGGGACGAUCUGGUCAGCUUAGUAAUGCAGAAGGCUGCACGGGCACGCGGUCGAAGAGAAUAAAGGGAUUCUUGAGCUUCCGCGAGAGCCAGAAAAAUUGCAUCUUAUGGAUUCCGGACCGUGUACUUACAGAGUAAACGCAAAACUGUUUUGAGGCACUAAACCGGUGCACGACAGUCCCGAGCAGUGGAGUUCCUUGUCUUUUUCCAUUCCCUUUUGUUUCCUGAUAAACGUACGUCAGUGACUCUCGGAGCGUCACAAAAGCAUUGUGCUGAGAGAGUAUAAAAGAAAAAUUAUACCUCACAAGCUAAAUGUGGUUUUAGAUGUAGUUGUCUGUCUAGACCUAACAACGAGAACAGAGAAUACUGCUACUGAAGCUUCACUCCUCGUUUCUAGCAAGCGCAGCCUCAUUUCUCUCAAAGCAGAAAAGAGCAAAGGGCAGAAAAGAAGACCGUCUAACUUUUUGCCCAUUGAGAUUAUGUGGAGGCGGAACAGUUCUUCGCAGAUACAAUGUAACAUCACAUCCAUAAUUAGGAAAAGCGAUCGGGUUUUGACAACUGCUGCAUAAAAAUUGGCUUCCAUAUGUCAACGUGUACAGCUUAACCUCGCAAAUCCUUCCCAUACUUCAACCUACCGUCAGUUUUCGGAACGUCACGGCUCUGAAAUCCUUUGUGCGGUUUUCCCGCGGCGUUUCAAUAGGGAAUAUUAAUUUGGCAGUGAGGAGAAUCCGGGUCUUCCGCUUGCGUGACCGCCGAAGUACGAGGCGGCUUCGACCGGGGGAACUGCAUGACAGUGACACGUCCUCGUUGAAGAACGCCCACUGGAACAAACGUUUCAUGGCUAGAUUGUCAAUGCUAGAAAAGUGUAGUCCGGUCUUAUGCUUUUUUGUUUGUUUGUUUCACACCAAAAUUAAAAAAUCAAUGUUUAAGUUCUUAAAAUAAGAGUAUGAUGAUGAAAAUCCAGAGAGACAGUUGCGAAGCAUCGGAACAAAAAAUGAGAAAGCACGCCUCAGAUUUAUUCCUUUAGAUUUCAGUCUUUCCGGUACGCCAGGCUAUGUCGAGAAAGGUGAUUAAAGCCCAUCUGAUACGCGCGCCUAUCGCUGCAUAUUCUCUUAUUCAAAACUCCAGUCCCCAUCCCAUAAAUGUCCCCCAUAGAAACAACCAAAACUAUCGAGGUACAUCACGCGUCGAAUUUCAAGGGGAGACGAAGGGGGGAGUCGAGAAGCUCUAUUCAAAACAGCGCGGUGUCUGAUGCACGCACUCAGAUGUGAACGAUCCAAAUCAUUGAUUACAAGUUCUCCUUCUCAAGUUUUCUUUUUCUAGUUUUCCCAGCCGCCCCUACAACUUUCCCAUUCGCCUUUACAUGGCAACAGAGCUUCUACAAACACUCCUUAACCGUUCAUGCGGGCGCGUACCCAAUCGGAGCCGUGAGACGUCGUUCUUCCUCUAGAGGCCUCCUUGGUUCUCACGCUAUCUAAAUUGCUCCACAGCUGCUGCUCUGAACAGCAUUCAAAACGUAAUUUUUUCUCGUCUUCCCACAAAACGCCAUAUUUAUAUCGGGUUCAUUUUCAUCUCUAUUUUCCCUCCGAACCGGUCGGAGUUUCACAUAAACGAAAUAUUUUCCGGAGUCAUCUUUGUCAUCUGUUCAUCUGUGCUUUAUGUUUCACGUGCGUAUGCGUUGUUUUUUUUUCACAAACGCCACGCUUUUGGUAAUUGUCUAAAACUUUGUAAUGUCAUUACAUUAUCCCACGUUUUGUAGGGCCAUUUAAUUUCAAGAAAUAAAUGAAACGACUUUGCUAUAUCCUUCAUUGAAGCGCAUCCGUUACUAUAGAAACAGCUGUAUAUCAUUUGAUUGAAUUACAUGUAAAUUAUACAUUUACAAGCCAAGGAGUUGUACGCGCUAGUAACCGAUCGGCGUAGUUUACAACUACGUUAACCGGAUAGCUUCUUCUCCCGGAGAACGUCGCAACGUAUCGCGUACCCAGGGCAGGAUCUCUCGCCUCACUCCACAUGCUCGGAUCCCCUUUUUUCCCAUGUGAGGCCACCGAAGGCAGUGAAAAUAUAUCCAUAACCGCACGCGAUAAAAACAUUCACAGUUCUACAAUCAUAAGAAAUGGAAAUGAAUGCCGUCCAACAGUCAGGAUUUUAAAUCAAGAACGAAACUGCUAUGUGAAGUGAAUUUCAUCACUGAAGUCUUUACGGAGUGCCCGUGUCCUUAACUGGAGAUAACUGAAAUGUCUCCGAAAGCGCUCCUACACGUUUAAUACGCGAACGUAAUCCCGAGCAACACCGCGCAGAACCGUUUGGAAAGCUUCGCUACGAAUUUCACCGGUCGUCGGUUUUCUCACGCGCAUCAUUAAGCCGCGUGGGCGUUCGUCACAUGGCUGCUUCCAUAUUUCCACUGCCGCCUUCAGUUACAUUUUCUCUGUCAGGUACAAAGUUUUUACACGCGUAACUUUUUUUUUUUUUUUUUUUUUUGUUUUCUUUUCUUUGGACGAGGGCCAAGGGAAAGCCGCGCGGAGAUAGAAAGUGCGCGGCGGGGGCCUCGGAAAACGAUUAAGGCUAGAGACGUUCUUUGGAAGGGUGUCGCAUGAGACACGAAGCGAUCCGUUUGAGUCGGGCACAAAUAUUAAUGAAUCCCUCAAAGAGUUGCGAAGGGGAAGCGUGUAACAAACCGUACUGAAGUGCAAUUUCAGUCCCUAAUUCAGAUCUAGCGUCCACGUCUAACCAGCAGGGUCCCCGGCCCGUCCGAACGAGCCCCGGCCGCGCUAACGAGUCAACGACUUUCAGGUGCGUCGGCGCCGCGGCCGGCCGGGCACAGGUGCGCCUCGUCGGCAUCCCGGGGCGGGGCCGCCCCGGGAUGCCUUUUAAGCUCCGCCGGAGGCCGCAGAGAGCUACGAGAGAGCUGCCGGAACUUGCCGCUUGCUGGUGCCGGAGCGGGUUGUACGCCUUCGUCCGGUACUUGCGCCUCUGGGGUCGAGUAGCGGUACGAGGGGGGCUUUUAACGCGACGCCUCGGGAUUCUACGUAAUGUUCUCUGUUGCGUUGUUUCGUUUCAGGCGGUAGCGAGGUCUCUCGCGGUGAGGAUCAGUCCGAACCGGUGAGCCGUUCCGGUAGCAACGGGACCGCGGAGGCGGGGAACCCUCCGGAGCCGUUCGGGACCGUCCGCCCGCAGCAAGUGGCCGCCGGGUUCUUGCCGCGCUCCGUUCGGGGCCGACGGGGGGCCCCCUCCGGGCUCGCCCGGCUUCUCUUCGUCGCCGCUCGGUUCCCCGAGUCCUAGUGCAGCCACGGAAUGUUCUCAGCUCCUCUCGGGCUUUUUAGAAGGUGGUUUAGUUUCCCCCGCUCUCGUCGGCGAGAGCGAGCGGGACGGGGCCGCAUUCCUGCCGCUUCGGCGGUGCUGGGAGUAAGAAGCACCGCCAAGGGCUGCUGAAAUAGGAGCUUUCUUCUAUUGCAGGCUGAGCGAAGGCUACAG